rnacentral:rRNA from 1 species
CCUACGGGUGGCAGCAGUGGGGAAUUUUGGACAAUGGGCGCAAGCCUGAUCCAGCCAUGCCGCGUGAGUGAAGAAGGCCUUCGGGUUGUAAAGCUCUUUCGGCAGGAACGAAAUGGUUCGUGCUAAUACCACGGACUGAUGACGGUACCUGAAGAAGAAGCACCGGCUAACUACGUGCCAGCAGCCGCGGUAAUACGUAGGGUGCAGGCGUUAAUCGGAAUUACUGGGCGUAAAGCGUGCGCAGGCGGUUUCUUAAGUCAGAUGUGAAAGCCCCGGGCUUAACCUGGGAACUGCGUUUGAAACUGGGAGACUUGAGUGUGGCAGAGGGGGGUGGAAUUCCACGUGUAGCAGUGAAAUGCGUAGAUAUGUGGAGGAACACCGAUGGCGAAGGCAGCCCCCUGGGCUAACACUGACGCUCAUGCACGAAAGCGUGGGGAGCAAACAGGAUUAGAUACCCUAGUAGUC